AGUGAACGCUGGCGGUAGGCCUAACACAUGCAAGUCGAACGGCAGCACAGUAAGAGCUUGCUCUUACGGGUGGCGAGUGGCGGACGGGUGAGGAAUACAUCGUAAUCUACUUUUUCGUGGGGGAUAACGUAGGGAAACUUACGCUAAUACCGCAUACGACCUACGGGUGAAAGCAUGGGAUCUUCUGACCUUGCGCGAUUGAAUGAGCCGAUGUCGGAUUAGCUAGUUGGCGGGGUAAAGGCCCACCAAGGCGACGAUCCGUAGCUGGUCUGAGAGGAUGAUCAGCCACACUGGAACUGAGACACGGUCCAGACUCCUACGGGAGGCAGCAGUGGGGAAUAUUGGACAAUGGGCGCAAGCCUGAUCCAGCCAUACCGAGUGGGUGAAGAAGGCCUUCGGGUUGUAAAGCCCUUUUGUUGGGAAAGAAAAGCAGCAGGUUAAUACCCCGCUGUUCUGACGGUACCCAAAGAAUAAGCACCGGCUAACUUCGUG
rnacentral:rRNA from 1 species